GUUCUUUGGAACAGGACGUCACAGAGGGUGAGAAUCCCGUACGUGGUCGCUAGCCUUCGCCGUGUAAAGCCCCUUCGACGAGUCGAGUUGUUUGGGAAUGCAGCUCUAAAUGGGAGNNAAAUUUCUUCUAAAGCUAAAUAUUGGCCAGAGACCGAUAGCGCACAAGUAGAGUGAUCGAAAGAUGAAAAGCACUUUGGAAAGAGAGUCAAAUAGCACGUGAAAUUGUUGAAAGGGAAGCGCUUNNAGCCAGACUUGCCUGUAGUUGCUUAUCUGGACUUUUGUCCGGUGCACUCUUCUAUAGGCAGGCCAGCAUCAGUUUGGGCGGUUGGAUAAAGGUCUCUGUCAUGUACCUCCUUUCGGGGAGGCCUUAUAGGGGAGANGACAUGCAACCAGCCUGGACUGAGGUCCGCGCAUCUGCUAGGAUGCAA
rnacentral:rRNA from 1 species